GAUGAACGCUGGCGGCGUGCCUAAUACAUGCAAGUCGAGCGAACGGACGUGAAGCUUGUUUCUCUGAUGUUAGCGGCGGACGGGUGAGUAACACGUGGAUAACCUACCUAUAAGACUGGGAUAACUUCGGGAAACCGGAGCUAAUACCGGAUAAUAUUUUGAACCGCAUGGUUCAAAAGUGAAAGACGGUCUUGCUGUCACUUAUAGAUGGAUCCGCGCUGCAUUAGCUAGUUGGUAAGGUAACGACUUACCAAGGCAACGAUGCAUAGCCGACCUAAGAGGGUGAUCGGCCACUCUGGAACGGAGACACGGACCAGACACCUAGGGGAGGCAGCAGGAGGGAAACUACCACAAUGAGCAAAAGCCUGACGGAGCAACGACGCGUCGGAGAUGAAGGUCUUCGAAUCGUAAAACUCUGUUAUUGGGGAAGAACAUAUGUGUAAGUGACUGUGCACAUCGUGACGGUACCUAAUCAGAAAGCCACGGCUAACUACGUG
rnacentral:rRNA from 1 species